CGUAGGGGGCGAGCGUUGUCCGGAUUUAUUGGGCGUAAAACGCUUGUAGGCGGCCACAUCGCGUCGUGCGUGAAAUCUCCCGGCUCAACUGGGAGGGGUCGUGCGAUACGGAUGGGCUCGAGGCCGGUAGGGGGACGCGGAAUUCCCGGUGUAGUGGUGGAAUGCGUAGAUAUCGGGAGGAACACCAGUGGCGCAGGCGGCGUCCUGGACCGGCACUGACGCUGAGGAGCGAAAGCGUGGGGAGCGAUCCGGAUUAGAUACCCGGGUAGUCCACGCCGUAAACGGUGCGCACUAGGUGUCGGGGGUAUCGACCCCUCCGGUGCCGCAGCUAACGCAUCAAGUGCGCUGCCUGGGGAGUACGGCCGCAAGGCUA
rnacentral:rRNA from 1 species